rnacentral:rRNA from 1 species
CACUGGUCGAGUGAUCCUCCGAAGAUUUCCGGGGCUAAAACUUACUACCGAAGCUACGGCAUCAGUAAUGAUGGGUAGGGGAGCUUCCCAUACGGGUUGAAGCAUGACCGUAAGGACAUGUGGACAGUAUGGGAGUGAGAAUGUUGGCAUGAGUAGCGAGAUGUGGGGGAGAAUCCCACAGGCCGUAAACCCAAGGUUUCCAGGGGAAGGUUCGUCCGCCCUGGGUUAGUCGGGACCUAAGCUGAGGCCGAAAGGCGUAGGUGAUGGACAACAGGUUGAUAUUCCUGUACUACCGAUAACCGUUUG